AUUGAAACACUGGUUCUCAUAUGAUCACUAAAGUUAAGUAAUGUUGAGCCUGGUCAGUACCUAGAUGGGUUACCACUUAAGAAUUCCAGGUGCAGUAAG